UACGAGGGGGGCGAGCGUUGUUCGGAAUCACUGGGCCUAAAGCGCACGUAGGCGGCGGCGUAAGUUGGAUGUGAAAUCCCCCGGCCCAACCGGGGAACUGCGUCCAGUACUGCGUUGCUUGAGGAUCCAAGGGGUGCAUGGAAUUCCCGGUGGAGCGGUGAAAUGCGUUGAUAUCGGGAGGAACUCCGGCGGCGAAAGCGGUGCACUGGUGGAUUACUGACGCUGAUGCACGAAAGCUGGGGGAGCAAACAGG
rnacentral:rRNA from 1 species